rnacentral:rRNA from 1 species
UACGUAGGGGGCAAGCGUUGUCCGGAAUCAUUGGGCGUAAAGAGCGUGUAGGCGGCCUGGUAAGUCCGCUGUGAAAGUCCAGGGCUCAACCCUGGAAUGCCGGUGGAAACUGUCAGGCUCGAGUCCGGAAGAGGCGAGUGGAAUUCCUGGUGUAGCGGUGAAAUGCGUAGAUAUUGGGAGGAACACCAGUGGCGAAGGCGGCUCACUGGACCGGUUCUGACGCUGAGGCGCGAAAGCGUGGGGAGCAA